GGAAAGAUUGGAAGAUUAGGUGGUGGAGGAUCAGAUUAUAAACCUUUUGUGCAGCAUGUGGGAAUUCCAUCAAUUGAUAUAGCCUUUGGAGGAGAAUUUCUUGUGCCAAAAAGGGAAGCAUCAGUGAGAAUUUCUUUGUGCCAGAAUUUCUUGUAUAUCAAGAAUGCUGUUGUAUCAUCAAACUUAACUCCUUGAGACACCAAAUUUAAGAGAAUAGUGGUUUUCUCUAGUUGAUGAUUUGCUGUAUUAGCUCCAACAAUGCAAACCUGGUUGCGACUCACCAAAAGACUAGUUGUAAUUUCCUCAGCUAGCUUGAAAACCAAAGGGAAGAACUUGUAUAUUGCAAUGCUGAUGUGGAGUUUAACUUGAAGUGGCCACACACAACCACAAGGAGAUCCAGGAGGUGUAUUU